CGCAUCUGUGCAUGCAGCAUAUCAAUAAGCGGAGGAAAAGAGGGCUAUUACCUACGCUUAGGAUGUUGACACACGCGCGUGCUCGACUCUAUACAUGACUCUGUGCAUAUCAAUAAGCGGAGGAAAAGAAACUAACAAGGAUUCCCUUAGUAACGGCGAGUGAAGCGGGAAGAGCUCAAAUUUGAAAUCUACAAGGUUUUACCUUGACGAAUUGUAGUUUAAAGAAGUGUUUUCUGUUGAAGUUUUGGUAAAAGUUCUUUGGAAUAGGACAUCAUAGAGGGUGAGAAUCCCGUAUUUGACCAUUAUUUUCAGCUGUGUGAUACACUUUCAAAGAGUCGGAUUGUUUGGGAAUGCAGUCCAAAAUGGGUGGUAAAUUUCAUCUAAAGCUAAAUAUUGGCGAGAGACCGAUAGCGAACAAGUACCGUGAGGGAAAGAUGAAAAGAACUUUGAAAAGAGAGUUAGACAGUACGUGAAAUUGUCAAAAGGGAAGCGUUUGACAUCAGUGUUGUUUUCUCGAAAAUCAAUUAAAAAGAGUUAGAUUUUGUUGUGUAUUGACCUUAACAGCUUGCAUUUCAAUUUUCUUGCUUUUUUUAAUGCACUUUUCGUUUAACAAGUCAACAUCAGUUUCUUUUGUUGUAAAAAGGUCAUUGGAAGGUGGCUUUCUUUUCGGAGAAAGUGUUUAUAGCCUUUGACUCCUGCAAUCGGAGAGACUGAGGUCUGCAGCGUAGAUCCUUCGGGGUUAGAUACAUUUGUGCUAAGUUAUAGCUUUUUAUAGACAACUUGUUGACUAUGAUUAGUCUUGUAGCUUACUCGCUUAUGCUAUUUUACCUACGCUUAGGAUGUUGACACACGCGCGUGCUCG
rnacentral:rRNA from 1 species